CCGCGUUAUACUUAUAGACGCCAUUUCUGUUUGCACCUGCUGAAGAAAACAGACGCUUUACUUUCGCUUCGUUUAUCAUUUAUGUCACCUCGAACGGGAUCAUCUGGUGCUUCCCACCCGAGAAGACACCCGACUUCCGUUUUAGAUUCGAGCGUCAGGUGAAAGUAUCGAAAACUAGGAAGACUCAAAAGUGUUCGUUCUCUAUUACAGCCGAGGGAUCCCAUCUGGAUGUCCCGACCGUGUGUUGGUUCGUUGCGUGCUGGCUCAUGGUUCACCAUCCGAAGAAGAGGUUUUAUCAUGGAAGAGCUGCAAGUUUCGUCCAGGACAUUCAUCGACUGGAGCAGUUUCUGUCGAGAGGUAUGUAUGGAUUAUUUAACACGUCGUUCUGUUCUUUUAGGUGGAGAAGGAGUCACCGCUAAGAUCGGCAAGAGGAAGUACAACCGUAGGAGAAGAAUCGAAGGCCAGUGGAUCUUCGGAGGGUAUGAGCGAGGCUCGGGUAAGGUUUUUAUCAUUCCAGUUCCGGAUCGAACGACGGAUACCUUGCUUGACCUUAUACGCGAGCACAUACGACCUCGUACGUAGCAGACUGCUGCGAUGCUUAUUUUUACCUUUAUCAUGUAUUUUUAUUUAAUAAAAUAAGUGUGGUUA